rnacentral:rRNA from 1 species
GAGACAGCAGCAGCCGCGGUAAGACAGAGGAUGCAAGCGUUAUCCGGAAUGAUUGGGCGUAAAGCGUCUAUAGGUGGCUUUUCAAGUCCAUCGUCAAAUCCCAGGGCUAAACCCUGGACAAGCGGUGGAAACUACCAAGCUGGAUUAUGGUAGGGGCAGAGGGAAUUUCCAGUGGAGCAGUGAAAUGCGUUGAGAUCGGAAAGAACACCAACGGUGAAAGCACUCUGUUGGGCCGACACUGACACUGAGAGACGAAAGCUAGGGCAGCAAAUGGGAUUAGAUACCCCGGUAGUCCCUGUCUCUUAUAC